AGCGAACGUUAGCGGCGGGCCUAACACAUGCAAGUCGCACGAGAAUGAGGGGGCAACUCCUCUAGUAAAGUGGCGGACGGGUGCGUAACACGUGGGUAAUUUACCUGCCGGCGGGGGACAACCUUCCGAAAGGAGGGCUAAUACCGCGUACGUCGGCGAGGGCUCCGGCCCUUGUCGGGAAAGGUGGCCUCUUUUUGAAAGCUACCACCGGCAGAUGAACCCGCGGCCCAUCAGCUAGUUGGCGAGGUAAUGGCUCACCAAGGCUAAGACGGGUAGCUGGUAUGAGAGGAUGAUCAGCCACACUGGGACUGCGACACGGCCCAGACUCCUACGGGAGGCAGCAGUGGGGAAUAUUGGGCAAUGGGCGAAAGCCUGACCCAGCCACGCCGCGUGAGUGAUGAAGGCCUUCGGGCCGUAAAGCUCUGUGGGGAGGGACGAACAAGCACGGUGCUAACAUCACCGGGCCCUGACGGUACCUCCUUAGCAAGCACCGGCUAACCCUGUGCCAGCCGCCGCCGUAA
rnacentral:rRNA from 1 species